CUGAAGACGUAAAUGCCAUGUCUGGUAUGGUACAGUGGCAGGAUGUAUUUUGGGAGCUUUGCCACUCCUUGUCUCCGCAUCAACUUGAAGAUCCCCCCUUGGCAAGGAGCCAUUUCUGCCUGAGUUGCACCAGCCUGGGCAGGGUCCUGCUGCCAGAACGCCCGUGCUGUCUCCUCCUCCCUGGCUCUCUCAGCCAGAGGACCAUUCUCCCAAUUAGCUGUUAAUCCUGUGCUCCUCUCCUCCCUCUGGCUGCCCCAACAGCAUCACCCCCUGCAUUUUAUUUUACCUGCUGAACAUACAGAAUGAGGAUGAGAUGGCUGAACUGCUGCAAUGUGAAAAGCAGCUGCCAUGGCUGGUGAGUACCUGGAUUUUCAUGUUCAGAUGUGGCAGUGGGGGCAAUGGGACAGUGCCCUUACUG
rnacentral:lncRNA from 1 species